AUGAACGCUGGCGGCGUGCCUAAUACAUGCAAGUCGCGCGAACAGACGAGGAGCUUGCUCCUCUGACGUUAGCGGCGGACGGGUGAGUAACACGUGGAUAACCUACCUAUAAGACUGGGAUAACUUCGGGAAACCGGAGCUAAUACCGGAUAAUAUAUUGAACCGCAUGGUUCAAUAGUGAAAGACGGUUUUGCUGUCACUUAUAGAUGGAUCCGCGCCGCAUUAGCUAGUUGGUAAGGUAACGGCUUACCAAGGCAACGAUGCGUAGCCGACCUGAGAGGGUGAUCGGCCACACUGGGACUGAGACACGGUCCAGACUCCUACGGGAGGCAGCAGUAGGGAAUCUUCCGCAAUGGGCGAAAGCCUGACGGAGCAACGCCGCGUGAGUGAUGAAGGUCUUCGGAUCGUAAAACUCUGUUAUUAGGGAAGAACAAAUGUGUAAGUAACUAUGCACGUCUUGACGGUACCUAAUCAGAAAGCCACGGCUAACUACGUG
rnacentral:rRNA from 1 species